rnacentral:rRNA from 1 species
UCCACGCCGUAAACGAUGAGAACUAAGUGUUGGGGUUACCCAGUGCUGAAGUUAACGCAUUAAGUUCUCCGCCUGGGGAGUACGACCGCAAGGUUGAAACUCAAAGGAAUUGACGGGUCUCCGCACAAGCGGUGGAGCAUGUUGUUUAAUUCGAAGAUACGCGAAGAACCUUACCAGGUCUUGACAUCUCGAUGACCGGCAUAGAGAUAUGCCUUUCCUUCGGGACAUCGAUGACAGGUGGUGCAUGGUUGUCGUCAGCUCGUGUCGUGAGAUGUUGGGUUAAGUCCCGCAACGAGCGCAACCCCUAUUGAUAGUUGCUAACAUUAAGUUGAGGACUCUAUCGAGACUGCCAGUGAUAAACUGGAGGAAGGUGGGGAUGACGUCAAAUCAUCAUGCCCCUUAUGACCUGGGCUACAAACGUG